AGACUAUUUUGGCAGAAAAAUGUAAUGAUUUUAGAAGUCAUAAAUAUAUAAUUUAUUAUAUAUGUAGUAAA
rnacentral:tRNA from 1 species